GCAAGUCGAACGGUAACAUUUCUAGCUUGCUAGAAGAUGACGAGUGGCGGACGGGUGAGUAAUACUUAGGAAUAUGCCUUUGUGUGGGGGAUAACUAUUGGAAACGAUAGCUAAUACCGCAUAACGUCUUCGGACCAAAGGGGGCUUCGGCUCCCGCGCAAAGAGUAGCCUAAGCGAGAUUAGCUUGUUGGUGAGGUAAAGGCUCACCAAGGCGACGAUCUCUAGCUGUUCUGAGAGGAAGAUCAGCCACACUGGAACUGAGACACGGUCCAGACUCCUACGGGAGGCAGCAGUGGGGAAUAUUGCACAAUGGGGGAAACCCUGAUGCAGCCAUGCCGCGUGUGUGAAGAAGGCCUUCGGGUUGUAAAGCACUUUCAGUUGUGAGGAAAGGUUAGUGGUUAAUACCCAUUAGCUGUGACGUUAGCAACAGAAGAAGGACCGGCUAACUCCGUGCCAGCAGCCGCGGUAAUACGGAGGGUCCGAGCGUUAAUCGGAAUUACUGGGCGUAAAGCGCACGCAGGCGGUUUGUUAAGCUAGAUGUGAAAGCCCUGGGCUCAACCUGGGAAUUGCAUUUAGAACUGGCAGGCUAGAGUUUUGGAGAGGGGAGUGGAAUUCCAGGUGUAGCGGUGAAAUGCGUAGAUAUCUGGAGGAACAUCAGUGGCGAAGGCGACUCCCUGGUCAGUAACUGACGCUCAUGUGCGAAAGUGUGGGUAGCGAACAGGAUUAGAUACCCUGGUAGUCCACACCGUANACGCUGUCUACUAGCUGUUUGUGGAUUUAAUCCGUGAGUAGCGAAGCUAACGCGAUAAGUAGACCGCCUGGGGAGUACGGCCGCAAGGGUUAAAACUCAAAUGAAUUUGACGGGGGCCCGCACAAGCGGUGGAGCAUGUGGUUUAAUUUCGAUGCAACGCGA
rnacentral:rRNA from 1 species